UACGUAGGGACCAAGCGUUGUCCGGAAUUAUUGGGCGUAAAGAGCUCGUAGGCGGUUUGUCGCGUCGGCCGUGAAAACUUGGGGCUUAACCCCGAGCCUGCGGUCGAUACGGGCAGACUUGAGUUCGGCAGGGGAGACUGGAAUUCCUGGUGUAGCGGUGAAAUGCGCAGAUAUCAGGAGGAACACCGGUGGCGAAGGCGGGUCUCUGGGCCGAUACUGACGCUGAGGAGCGAAAGCAUGGGGAGCGAACAGG
rnacentral:rRNA from 1 species